rnacentral:rRNA from 1 species
UACGGGGGGAGCAAGCGUUGUUCGGAAUUACUGGGCGUAAAGGGCGCGUAGGCGGGAUGGCAAGUCGGUCGUGAAAUCCUUCGGCUCAACCGAAGAACGUCGAUCGAUACUGCUGUUCUUGAGGGUUGCAGAGGAGACUGGAAUUCCCGGUGUAGCGGUGAAAUGUGUAGAGAUCGGGAGGAACACCGGUGGCGAAGGCGGGUCUCUGGGCAAUUCCUGACGCUGAGGCGCGAAAGCGUGGGGAGCAAACGGG